UCUUUUUCCAUUGUACUUAAGGGUGAGAAGCUUGUACUUAUUAUCUUCGUAGCAGUGAUAGUGAUCUUCUUGUAUACUUUGUUGAUUGCAUAUUCAUAUCAACAUGAAGAAGAUGAUUAAUAUAUAUUAUUAAAUAAUAUAAACAUUUUAUGACCGCA